GGUCAAGUAAUGAAGUGCACAUGGUGGAUGCCUUGGCAGUCAGAGGCGAUGAAAGACGUGAUAGCCUGCGAUAAGCGUCGGUGAGGUGGCAAUAUCCUGUGACCCGGCGAUUUCUGAAUGGGGAAACCCAACCAACAUAAGUUGGUUAUUACACAGUUUACUGUGUAAGGCAAACCGGGAGAAGUGAAACAUCUCAGUACCCCGAGGAAAAGACAUCAAAUGAGAUUCCGUAAGUAGCGGCGAGCGAACACGGAGGAGCCGAUCAAUUUUACAGUAGCAAAAUGGCGUGGGAAAGCCAACCAUAGUAGGUGAUAGUCCUGUAUGCGAAACUGUUUAAGCGACAUAUUAAGUAGGGCGGAACACGAGAAAUUCUGUCUGAAGAUGGGGGGACCAUCCUCCAAGGCUAAAUACUCCUGACUGACCGAUAGUGAACCAGUACCGUGAGGGAAAGGCGAAAAGAACCCCUGUUAGGGGAGUGAAAUAGAACCUGAAACCGUGUGCAUACAAGCAGUCGGAGCGGACUUGUUCCGUGACGGCGUACCUUUUGUAUAAUGGGUCAGCGACUUAUAUUCUGUAGCAAGGUUAACCGAAUAGGGGAGCCGUAGGGAAACCGAGUCUUAAUAGGGCGAAUGAGUUGCAGGGUAUAGACCCGAAACCGAGUGAUCUAUCCAUGAGCAGGUUGAAAGUGCCGUAACAGGCACCGGAGGACCGAACCCACUGUCGUUGAAAAGCCAGGGGAUGACUUGUGGAUAGGGGUGAAAGGCUAAUCAAACUCGGUGAUAGCUGGUUCUCCCCGAAAGCUAUUUAGGUAGCGCCUCGGACGAACACCAUUGGGGGUAGAGCACUGUUUCGGCUAGGGGGUCACACCGACUUACCAAACCGAUGCAAACUCCGAAUACCGAUGAGUGAUAUCCGGGAGACAGACGGCGGGUGCUAACGUCCGUCGUCAAGAGGGAAACAACCCAGACCGCCAGCUAAGGCCCCAAAUUCCUAGUUAAGUGGGAAACGAUGUGGGAAGGCACAGACAGCUAGGAGGUUGGCUUAGAAGCAGCCACCCUUUAAAGAAAGCGUAAUAGCUCACUAGUCGAGUCGGCCUGCGCGGAAGAUGUAACGGGGCUCAAACUAGGAGCCGAAGCUGCGGAUUUAAUUGUUUCAAUUAAGUGGUAGGGGAGCGUUGUGUAAGCCUGUGAAGGUGCACUGUAAGGUGUGCUGGAGGUAUCACAAGAGCGAAUGCUGACGUGAGUAACGACAAAACGGGUGAAAAGCCCGUUCGCCGGAAGACCAAGGGUUCCAGUCCAACGUUAAUCGGGGCUGGGUGAGUCGACCCCUAAGGCGAGGCCGAAAGGCGUAGUCGAUGGGAAAUCGGUUAAUAUUCCGAUACUUGUUUAUGAUGCGAUGGAGGGACGGAGAAGGUUAUGCCAGCCUGGCGAUGGUUGUCCAGGUGGAAGGAUGUAGUUAGACUGAGUAGGCAAAUCCGCUCGGUUAUUAAUGAGAUCUGAUAGCAAGCCAGUUUACUGGCGAAGUGGCAAAUACCCUGCUUCCAGGAAAAGCUUCUAAGCGAUAGUCAUAAACGAAUCGUACCCGAAACCGACACAGGUGGUCAGGUAGAGAAUACCAAGGCGCUUGAGAGAACUCUGCUGAAGGAACUAGGCAAAAUGGUACCGUAACUUCGGGAGAAGGUACGCUGCCGAUGGUGAUGAAACUUGCUUUCUGAGCUGUUGGCAGUCGCAGAUACCAGGCUGCUGCAACUGUUUAUUAAAAACACAGCACUCUGCAAACACGAAAGUGGACGUAUAGGGUGUGAUGCCUGCCCGGUGCUGGAAGGUUAAUUGAUGGGGUUAGCGUAAGCGAAGCUCUUGAUCGAAGCCCCAGUAAACGGCGGCCGUAACUAUAACGGUCCUAAGGUAGCGAAAUUCCUUGUCGGGUAAGUUCCGACCUGCACGAAUGGCAUAAUGAUGGCAGCGCUGUCUCCAGCAGAGACUCAGUGAAAUCGAAAUCGCAGUGAAGAUGCUGUGUACCCGCGGCUAGACGGAAAGACCCCGUGAACCUUUACUACAGCUUUACAUUGAACUUUGACCUAACUUGUGUAGGAUAGGUGGGAGGCUUUGAAGCAGAUACGCCAGUAUUUGUGGAGCCAACCUUGAAAUACCACCCUGGUUAUGUUGGGGUUCUAACUUAGGAUUAACAAAUCCAAGGACAAUGUAUGGUGGGUAGUUUGACUGGGGCGGUCUCCUCCUAAAGAGUAACGGAGGAGUACGAAGGUGCGCUCAGAACGGUCGGAAAUCGUUCAAAGAGUAUAAAGGCAAAAGCGCGCUUAACUGCGAGACCCACAAGUCGAGCAGGUACGAAAGUAGGUCUUAGUGAUCCGGUGGUUCUGUAUGGAAGGGCCAUCGCUCAACGGAUAAAAGGUACUCUGGGGAUAACAGGCUGAUACCGCCCAAGAGUUCAUAUCGACGGCGGUGUUUGGCACCUCGAUGUCGGCUCAUCUCAUCCUGGGGCUGAAGCAGGUCCCAAGGGUAUGGCUGUUCGCCAUUUAAAGAGGUACGCGAGCUGGGUUUAGAACGUCGUGAGACAGUUCGGUCCCUAUCUACCGUGGGCGUUGGAAAUUUGAGAGGAUCUGCUCCUAGUACGAGAGGACCAGAGUGGACGAACCUCUGGUGUUCCGGUUGUUUCGCCAGAAGCAUCGCCGGGUAGCUACGUUCGGAUGGGAUAACCGCUGAAAGCAUCUAAGCGGGAAGCCCACCUCAAGAUAAGAUUUCCCUAAAGAGCCGUUGUAGACUACGACGUUGAUAGGUUGGGUGUGGAAGUGUAGUGAUACAUGUAGCUAACCAAUACUAAUUGCUCGUUUGGCUUGACCAU
rnacentral:rRNA from 1 species